AGAACGAACGCUGGCGGCAUGCCUAAUACAUGCAAGUCGAACGAAUGCCCUUCGGGGUGUUAGUGGCGCACGGGUGCGUAACGCGUGGGAAUCUGCCCUUGGGUUCGGAAUAACAGUUAGAAAUGACUGCUAAUACCGGAUGAUGACGUAAGUCCAAAGAUUUAUCGCCCAGGGAUGAGCCCGCGUAGGAUUAGCUAGUUGGUGGGUAAAGCCUACCGAAGGCGACGAUCCUUAGCUGGUCUGAGAGGAUGAUCACGCCACGACGUGGACUGAGACCGACGGCCCAGACCUCCGUACGGGAGCAGCGAGUAGGGAAUAGUUGGACGUAAGUGGGACGAAAGCC
rnacentral:rRNA from 1 species